rnacentral:rRNA from 1 species
AGUGAACGCUGGCGGUAGGCCUAACACAUGCAAGUCGAACGGCAGCACAGUAAGAGCUUGCUCUUACGGGUGGCGAGUGGCGGACGGGUGAGGAAUACAUCGGAAUCUACUUUUUCGUGGGGGAUAACGUAGGGAAACUUACGCUAAUACCGCAUACGACCUACGGGUGAAAGCAGGGGAUCUUCGGACCUUGCGCGAUUGAAUGAGCCGAUGUCGGAUUAGCUAGGUGGCGGGGUAAAGGCCCACCAAUGCGACGAUCCGUAGCUGGUCUGAGAGGAUGAUCACCCACACUGGAACUGAGACACGGACCAGACUCCUACGGGAGGCAGCAGUGGGGAAUAUUGGACAAUGGGCGCAAGCCUGAUCCAGCCAUACCGCGUGGGUGAAGAAGGCCUUCGGGUUGUAAAGCCCUUUUGUUGGGAAAGAAAAGCAGCAGGUUAAUACCCCGCUGUUCUGACGGUACCCAAAGAAUAAGCACCGGCUAACUUCGUG